UCCCACAUCGAUUGUGGGUCAAGGAGGACUCUCACUUAUAAGGAGGCGAUCAUCCUUCUCACGUAAGGCACCUUUUAAAAGGUAAAAUCGUAAGGCCCAUAGGCUAGAGUGGACAAUACUUUAUGUGCAGGAUCGAGCCCUUGACCGCAAUAAUGACGUGCCGAGAAGGGGUCAAAGUCUGCUUCGAAUCUUUGGAGCCG
rnacentral:lncRNA from 1 species